rnacentral:rRNA from 1 species
CCCUAAAAGGAGGCAGCAGGCGCGCAAUUACCCAAUCCUGACUCAGGGAGGUAGUGACAAGAAAUAACAAUAAACCGGCUUAUGCCGGUUUAAUUGGAAUGAGUACAAUUUAAACAUCUUAACGAGGAACAAUUGGAGGGCAAGUCUGGUGCCAGCAGCCGCGGUAAUUCCAGCUCCAAUAGCGUAUACUAAAGUUGUUGCAGUUAAAAAGCUCGUAGUUGGAUUUCUGUGGGGACGGAGCGGCCGGCCGCACAUCGCGGUUCGAGCUAGCGCUUUCCCUACAUCCUGCCGCGAACCGUGCUACCAUUAGUUUGGUGGCGCCGGGGAUCGGCUCGAUUACUUUGAGAAAAAUAGAGUGUUCAAAGCAGGCCACAUGCCUUGAAUAAGUUAGCAUGGAAUAAUAACUAAGGACUUCGGUUCUAUUUUGUUGGUGUUCGGGACUGAAGUAAUGAUUGAUAGGGACAGUUGGGGCGGUCUGUAUUCCAAAGCGAGAGGUGAAAUUCUUAGACCUUCGGAAGACAAACAGCUGCGAAAGCGUUCCGCAAGGAUGUUCCCUUUGAUCAAGAACGAAAGUUGGGGGAUCGAAGACGAUCAGAUACCGUCGUAGUCUCAACUAUAAACUAUACCAGCUAGGGAUCGGCCAACGUUAUUUCAAACCGACUUGGUCGGCACCUUAUGAGAAAUCAAAGCAUCUGGGUUCCGGGGGGGAGUAUGGUCGCAAGGCUGAAACUUAAAGGAAUUGACGGAAGGGCACCACCAGCCGUGGAGCCUGUGGCUUAGUUUGACUCAACACGGGAAAACUUACCAGGUCCAGACAUAGUAAGGAUUGACAGAUUGAUAGCUCUUUCUUGAUUCUGUGGGUGGUGGUGCAUGGCCGUUCUUAGUUGGUGGAGUGAUUUGUCUGGUUAAUUCCGUUAACGAACGAGACCCCAGCCUGCUAAAUAGCGCGUGUGAGCUUUGCUCGCGGCGAGCUUCUUAGAGGGACUAUGAUGCGCGAUAGCACAUGGAAGUUUGGGGCAAUAACAGGUCUGUGAUGCCCUUAGAUGUUCUGGGCCGCACACGGGCUACACUGGCGCCUGCAACGAGCAUAUCAGCUGGCCUGAGAGGGUCUUGGCUAAUCUUUUGAACCGGCGCCGUGCUUGGGAUUGACCUUUGCAAUUGUUGGUCAUGCAACGAGGAAUGCCUUGUAAACGCGAGUCAUCAGCUCGCAUUGAAUACGUCCCUGCCCUUUGUACACACCGCCCGUCGCUCCUACCGAUGAAUGUUCCGAUGAAAUUUUCGGAGAGCACCUGUGAACUUGGCUCCGCCUUGCGAACGGGAGGCUCAAAGUCACAUAAAUCUACCAUUUAA